UACGUAGGUGACAAGCGUUGUCCGGAUUUACUGGGCGUAAAGAGCGCGCAGGCGGUCGAUCAAGUCGAGUGUGAAAGCCCCCGGCUCAACUGGGGAGGGUCGUGCGAAACGGGUGAACUAGAGGCCAGUAGGGGGAUGCGGAAUUCCGGGUGUAGUGGUGGAAUGCGUAGAGAUCCGGAGGAACACCAGCGGCGAAGGCGGCAUCCUGGACUGGUCCUGACACUCAGGAGCGAAAGCGUGGGGAGCGAUCCGG
rnacentral:rRNA from 1 species